rnacentral:rRNA from 1 species
AUUAGCUUGUUGGUAGGGUAACGGCCUACCAAGGCUACGAUCAGUAGGGGUUCUGAGAGGAUUAACCCCCACACUGGUACUGAGACACGGACCAGACUCCUACGGGAGGCAGCAGUGAGGAAUAUUGGUCAAUGGGCGGAAGCCUGAACCAGCCAUCCCGCGUGAAGGAAGACAGCCUUACGGGUUGUAAACUUCUUUUCUGUCAGAAGAAUAAGCUUGUCGAGACGAGUGAUGCCGGUAUGACAGGAAUAAGCAUCGGCUAACUCCGUGCCAGCAGCCGCGGUAAUACGGAGGAUGCAAGCGUUAUCCGGAUUUAUUGGGUUUAAAGGGUGCGCAGGUUGUUUGAUAAGUCAGUGGUGAAAGUCUGUCGCUUAACGGUAGGAUUGCCACUGAUACUGUUGGACUUGAAUAUGGAUGAGGUAGGCGGAAUGUGUAGUGUAGCGGUGAAAUGCAUAGAUAUUACACAGAACACCGAUUGCGAAGGCAGCUUACUAAUCCAUCAUUGACGCUGAGGCACGAAAGCGUGGGGAUCAAACAGGAUUAGAUACCCUGGUAGUCCACGCCGUAAACGAUGAUCACUCGCUGUUUGCGAUAUACAGUAAGCGGCUAAGCGAAAGCGUUAA